UCGAUUAGAGUUUGAUCCUGGCUCAGAACGAACGCUGGCGGCAGGCUUAACACAUGCAAGUCGAACGCACCGCAAGGUGAGUGGCAGACGGGUGAGUAACGCGUGGGAACCUUCCCUUUGGUACGGAAUAACUUCGGGAAACCGAAGCUAAUACCGUAUAUCUCCUGCGGGAGAAAGAUUUAUCGCCAAAGGAUGGGCCCGCGUUGGAUUAGCUAGUUGGUAGGGUAAUGGCCUACCAAGGCGACGAUCCAUAGCUGGUCUGAGAGGAUGAUCAGCCACACUGGGACUGAGACACGGCCCAGACUCCUACGGGAGGCAGCAGUGGGGAAUAUUGGACAAUGGGCGCAAGCCUGAUCCAGCCAUGCCGCGUGAGUGAAGAAGGCCUUAGGGUUGUAAAGCUCUGUCAGGAGGGACGAAGCCACUCAGGUGAAUAGCCGAGAGGGUGACGGUACCUCCAGAGGAAGCCCCGGCUAACUACGUGCCAGCAGCCGCGGUAAUACGUAGGGGGCAAGCGUUGUCCGGAAUCAUUGGGCGUAAAGCGCGUGUAGGCGGCCAUCCAAGUCCGAUGUGAAAGCUCGGGGCUCAACCCCGAGUCUGCAUUGGAAACUGUAUGGCUUGAGUCCGGAAGAGGAGACUGGAAUUCCUGGUGUAGCGGUGAAAUGCGCAGAUAUCAGGAAGAACACCGGUGGCG
rnacentral:rRNA from 1 species